rnacentral:lncRNA from 1 species
UCCAGACACGCCACCUUUAAGAACUGUAACACUCACUGCGCGGGUCCACGGCUUCAUUCUUGAAGUAAGUAAGACCAAGAACCCACCAAUUCGGACACAAUACCAUUUAGAGCACACCCAUAUUAAUAAAAACAAAUUUUAUGGAAGAAUGUAUUUGCAAAUGGCCAUCAACUAUGUGGAAUGUGGUUUGGAAGAGUGUUCAUUGUCUGCAUGUAAGUGGAUGCCUGGUGGAGAUGGGAAGGGGAUGAAUGAUGCAAUAAUUAAUGGGAAGAAUCUCGAAAUGAAAUAUAAAAUAAGGGAGGUGCACUGUUAGAAUAAAAGCCAGUCAUGAACUAAGCAGUAAUGCCAAUUUAAUUCUGUGGACUUGAAAUCCAAGAUCCCAAAGCAAAACAAAAUAAAACUUGCAACAUCAAUUUCAACAUCGAUUUUAUAUCUCUAUUUUAGUGAUAGAUUUUAAAAAAUAUUAGUAUAUCAAUAUAUAAAAUUUAGACCUGAUAUAAUAAAAAUACUUACGGAUUUAAAGAAAUUUUGGGAACCGGAAGAAUAAUACAAAGAAUUAUUAGAGAUUAGUGUAGUGGUUCUGGGUUCACUUUUUCCUGUGUAUACUUUUAGCUCCUAUGACACAAAGAAAAAUCUUUAGCUCCGGAAGUGUUUCACAUGAACUGUAAAACCUCGGUUAUUAAUUUACUAUUUUAUUGCCAUUUGGUUUAACAACAUGUAGAAAAAUGUUUGUUCUUAAGACCUGAAAUCCUGCAGCCUUACAAACUUACAAAUCAUUUGAACAUCACAAAAAAGUUCAAAUGAUUAAGGCUAAUAAUGUUCUAUAUUGCAUUAUUUUGACCUUUUUAUCUAAUUGCAAAUCUUGUAAUGACCCACUGAGCAUAUUUACCUUUUGAAUCAAGGAAGCAGCAAGAAGCAAACAGCUGGAAACACAGUCAUGCUCUGUCGCCUAGGCUGGUCUCAAACACCUAGCUUCAAGCAAUCCUUCCACCUCAGCCUCCCAAAUUGAUGGGAUUACAGGUGUGAGCUACCACACUCAGCCUCUGCUACAUAAUUUAUGUGGAAAAUUCCUCCUUUUUAUUAAUCAAAACCUACACUCAAUAGAUACAUAUUUCUUGGGGAUUUCCAAACUGGAAAUAACCAACACAACUAGGUCAAGCAUCCAUCAUGCACCAUGUACACCACAGUGCACCACAGCUGAGACCAGUGUGGAUCCCACCAUCAGCAGCUUUUCCAAAGGACCCAGGCAAAAUGUGUGGUGUUUCUGAGGGCAUCCUCUUCCACAUUUUUAGCGUAAUCUACCUCGACACACAGAUGCAAUGCUCACAGAGGCCAGAACGCUUCCCAGAAGCAGCCAAGAGUGAGCACUUUCUCAUGGUGUAAAAUAUUCUACCAAAACCUUAUUUCCAAUAGGAGGGUCCAGAUAAUCAAAGCUUCGGAUCUCCUAAAACCUGGCUUUGCCUCUUACUUGAGAACUUUGCAAAGAAGAAUGCUAGCCAGUGAAUGUUCAGAGAGGAAGGAAGAAGAAGCUGUCCAAUGACCUUUUUUCUUAUGGCUUUCUAACUUGAUUCUUGACACUGUCACCAAGGAGUAAUCUGUGGAGAGACAUUUGAUUGAUUAUCUCUGCAAUCCUCCCCUCCCCACUUCCUUCUCUGGCCCCUCCUUGUCCACAUGGGCCUCUGGAGAAACCAGCGAGGGAUGACUGGGGAUAAAGGCUCGUCUCUGGAGAGGGCUGCCAACCUCACCUUGUUCCAAGUCUCCACAAAACACAGCCAACCUUCCAGACACAAAAGAAGCACCUCCUGACUCCAUCUCUUUUCCUUGUUUUCUCUCUUUACAAGCAUAUUGGUAUUUUUUCACAGAGAGAUAAUUCCCAUUCACUUCUAGGAAGAAAAUUUCGCUCUCAAAACUGUUGGUGAGAGACCCCUUGAAGAGAGAACUUCUCUGUUCUUCUGGAGGAGAUGAUUUAGUAAGGCAGUGCUGGAGUUCAAACUGAGCCUCCACAGGCCUAACUUGCUUCACUUUUAAGCUUUUAGGAAGAGAGCUUUUAGAGAGAGAAAAUUGCUUUCCAAAAGGGAACUCUAGAAAGAGGACGAAUGAGCAGGGCUGAAACUUUGAGAGAAAAUGGAAGGAGUUGGAAGAUGGAGGGAGGAACCAAAGUAACUAAUAAGAAUUUCUGGGGCUGGGUGCAGUGGCUCACACUUGAAAUCUCAGCACUUUGGGAGGCUGAAGUCGUGGAUCACAUGAGUCCAGGAAUUCAAGAGCAGCCUGGGCAAUAUGGCAAGACCCCGUCUCUACAAAAAAUACAAAAAUUAGCUGGGCAUGGGGGUGUCUGUAGUCCCAGCUACUCGGGAGGCUGAAGCAGGAAGAUCCCUGGAGCCCAGAGGUUGAGGCUGCAGUGGGCCGUAAUCACGCCACUGCGCUCCAGCCUGGACGGCCAAGUGAGACUAUCUCAAAAAAAAAAAAAGAAUUUAUUAAUUUCUUCUUAUGAAAUAUACAAUAUAGGCCCCCUCUUUUUGCUCCUGUAUGAGAAUGUGAAGAAAAGUCUUUGGCUUGAUGUGCAGUCCUGAUUCCUCUGGAUUCCUUUUGGGAGAGAGGUUAGAACAAGAACUGAGGCCUGGUUCCAGUAAGUGCCUGGAUGCAGGACAGCAGGGUAGCUGACAUCCUGGAUAUGCAAAGUAACAGCAUGGAGAAUAAAGGAGUGAGGAAAAUUAAUAAAACAUGGAAUAUUUUAAUAAGACUGCAAGGAAGCAUACAGAGACACAUGGAAAAUACAAAGAUAGCUGUUUUAUUGUAGCAUGGACAUGGACUUUAUGGCUGGCAAUUUGGGCGUUUCAAGCUCUUUUUGUUGUUUACUUGUGGUACAUGUUUGACAAGUAAUUUCCAUUUUCCAAGUCAUUUUUUUCAUCUGUAAAAUGAGACUAAUUCAAAUAACUUCCCUCGAUAGGUUUCUAUUUUUGGUGAGAAUUGUUUUUUUCUUUUCAUGUAGUAUAUAUUUUAUUAGCUUGUACUAAUACAUUCUCAUAUUACAAAGUCAAUUUAGUGGAAGAAUCUUCCUUCUGAUAUUUGAUUCAUGUGAAAUAACACAAACAGAACUAUACAUUCAAAAAAAUUCUCAUUUAGAUAACAAAAAAAAGACAAGUUAAACAACAAAAAUCUUUUCCUUUCUCACAGGUGGACAUUGAAGUGGACCUAAUUCGGUUUUCCUUUUAAAAGCCCCCACAAACAAAAGUAGUUUGAAACCUAUUUAAAAU